UCUUCUGGGUGGUUUCGGAAACGCGUCUUUCAACUUGUUUCUCGUGUUCUUCAAAAUUUAUUCCGAAUAAUAAUAGCUAAGCCCUCGUUUCCUGCCGUUGUAUUAUCAAUUAUGUAUUAUGAUACGUUAUCACAUCGGCAGCCGACUGGCAGCUCUUCCUUUUCUACCUCGAUUUUAUUUUAUUGUCUUUUUCAUCGAGCUUUACAUUUUGUAAGAGAACCAACUGUGUGGAGGAAGGAAAAUAGUAUUACCAGCUAACGAUAAAACUACCUCUACAGCAAGUAUUAAAUGUUACAGGAGAAGGUACUUGCGAAAUUAAAUUUUAUACGGACGCUACACCAUCUAUGGUAUAAUUUCACCUGUUAGCUUUUGUAUUCCGCACACAAGAUCGGUACGAUUUAAAUUAAACGAAUUUAUUUAUAACAGGAGAGUACAUAAGAGUUGAACAAUUUGUAUGAUUAAAAUCCGACCGGGAAGUUUGCCGGGAAUAUUUUUACAAGCAAAGGGAGAGACCGUGUGGCAUAGUUUCCUCCAAUUUUCGAUCAACUUAACGAGAGUUUUUCUAUGUUUUAGAAUAAAUAACAUCAGGUGAAUUCGAUGACGGGGAGGUGAGCCGUACGUAGCAUCCGACCUACCUUAUUAAACCCAUAUAAUAUGUAUAACCUGGUUUAAAUCUUUACGGCUCAGUACCUCCAUUCGCUCCUUUAUUGCAGCCCUCUAUACGCGGGCUUUAUACACACCAAAGCUAUGCCGUCAUUGCGUUAUCCCUUAGCUGUUCGUUGCCGCUGAUGCUGCUACUGGAAGCAGGUACUACAAUUUGUGUAAGUGGAUCGAAGGAUCGAAGGAUUGGGUGAAAUUGUAAGAAAUCCAUUAAGGGGAUUGCAUCAAAAAGCAGUUGCGGACCACCGGGGAUGUAUACUUAUAUCGUUUUGACGACGAUUGGGUGAUCACUGUUACAAUGGUCAAACGGUCGCCUCCGGGGGCACUUACCCUCACAAAAGAGCGAGGUGGCGGGUGAGGGGGUGACCCUCUUCAUUCACAUCGCGAAAAUGUUCCUAGAUGUCGGACGUUGGAAAAGAUCCUUGGAAAAUUACGUUUAACGCGCGUAGGGCAAAAUUGAAGCGGUGCACAAGAGUCGGUGUAUUGCG